AGGCCAAGGAAGGCGCAGAAGAAGGCGGCGCAGGCCGACGAGGAGGCCGGGUCGCUGCUGCAGGAGCGCGACUCGCACGCCGACCGCAAGACGGACAACCAGGCGUAGCGAGUGUGACGGAUCCCAUUAUCCAACCGCGCUCGCUCGAUUCGGAGACCUGGUGCCAUUGCAAACACUGAAUCCACCAGUGAAUUGUUAAGUUGGUGUAUGGUUGCUCUCAGUGAAGCUGGACCCGCUUUUGGUUCAUUUUCACGCUUUGUCCAAUUGGUUGAAUCCAAAUAUCCGGGUUCAGGAGUCUGAAGAAUUGGUUGCUGGGGAGCAUCAGCACCUUAAAUCUACCUGCAGGAGCAGGACUAGGAGAAACUUUUUAUCCUACGCCGAUACUAUUGUUUUGCUAUUGUUUUUCCAUUCCAUCCCUUGAUGCCCCAGAUAGUGUAGUGAAAGUCAACCUCUACAAUAGUGCAAAUGCCUAAUAGUAACUUCUAUAUAUGUAUCGGAUCUCACUGAGAAUUGCAACUCAAUCUCGGUCAUGUGGUGUGAUGAUUCCUGAACCACCAUAA